UACAGAGGGUGCGAGCGUUAAUCGGAAUAACUGGGCGUAAAGGGCGCGUAGGUGGUUUGUUAAGAUCGAUGUGAAAUCCCUGGGCUUAACCUAGGAAGGCCAUUGAAGACUGGCAAGCUGGAGUACUGUAGAGGGUAGUGGAAUUUCCGGUGUAGCAGUGAAAUGCGUAGAGAUCGGAAGGAACAUCGGUGGCGAAGGCGGCUACCUGGACAGCUACUGACACUGAGGCGCGAGAGCGUGGGGAGCAAACAGG
rnacentral:rRNA from 1 species